UGAGGUGUAGCUCAGUGGCAGAGCAAAUGCUUAUCAUGCAUGAGCCCCUGGGUUCAAGCCUCAGCACCAAAA
rfam:Ictidomys tridecemlineatus contig065742, whole genome shotgun sequence.